UAAAUAUAGAUUCCAAAGAUAGUUUUCAAAUCAAGUGUAGAUGGAAUCUAUAAGAUAAAGAUCGAAACUUAUAUACUCGAAAAAUAUAAGAUCAUGUUGAAUCAUUAAUUCUUAAUGACUUCAAAGUUCUUUUAUGAUAUAAAAAUAUUUGGGCACAGAUACCAAAACAUGAAUUUAUGCAAUAUAUGAUACAUAAAAUCCAAAGCUUUGAGAGUUCUUUUAGAGCUCUUUUAAAGACUUUCUUUUACUCCUUUAAAGAUUAUAGCAUCAAAAUCAAUUAGAAUGAAUUGGCUCAGGAUUGAAACACUAAGGUGCAUGCCAAUAAGACUCAUUAGUAGAUUUCAAAAUAAAUUUUUGAUAAUAAGACAAAUGGAAUCCUUUUUAAUUAGUUUUCAAAACAAAUGAUUUACCAAUUAAGUGCAAAUAAAAAUCCAACUUUCAAAAGA
rnacentral:lncRNA from 1 species